GAUGUUUCUGUCUUUGGUUAUCUAGCUGUAUGAGUGUUGUGGAGCCAUCAUAAAGCUAGAUAACCGAAAGUAGAAAUGACUUCCAAACCUGCUCGCCCCCGGGGAAGAGGCUGCAGCAGGACCGGCGCCGCUGGAGCCCGGAGCAGAGGCGAGUCGCGGCCCCGCCACCUCGGGGCUCCAGACGUGACUGCGAGUUCGCGGAGUGGGAUGCCUUGGGAAGGGCUGGGACGUCUCCACCUGAGCGAGGAGAGGCCCCCGGAGCAGAAUGGAGGUGUAAUUGUGCUAAGGAGUUAGCAGGGGAGAGCGCAGCUUUUGGUCACAUUCAAGUUGGAGGUCUUGAGCCAGGGAGGAGAUCCCAGUGAGUGGAGAAGGGAUUUCUCAAGCCUGUGAGCUCCGUGUCACAGUUGGCUGCCGCCUGCCUGGGCUCGCUGUCUGAUGCCUCCAGGAUCCUCCAGGAGGGUCCCAACCUGCUGCAGCGAUGGCCCUGGCGAGGAGGCGGCUUUGGCUCGUGAACACGGAGGGUUCCUGCAGUGCUUCGGAUCACAGUCUGCAGCUGCGGGGAGGGACAGGGAACCAAGGGAAAAUCCCGCCUAACUCCUGUACACCUCCGGUACCCCAAAUACCCCCGGCAGAACCACAGCGCUCAGAUCCGAGCAAGCCACUGCCUCCACUGGCAAAACGCUGGGUGCACGAAGGGGGUGGGAGGGAGGUCAGAGCUGGCUGGACCCUGCUUUCAGCAGGUUUUUGCAGGCUGGGCUCUGCUCAUGGAGCAGGGCUUGGCCCUUGCUGCUCAUCCACGGGGGUGUGGAGCUGCGAGGGCGCAGCUGUCCUGGUGGCACCGUGUGUGUGGAGCCCACGGGACCGUGACUGUGUCCGGGCCGGGCAGCCCUGCUGCCGUUCUCUUGCACUGUUAAAAAAAAAAAAAAAAAAAAGUACUGUCUGUAAUCGUCUCCCAU